GCACUUUCCAAAGGCUGCAGUGUCUCAGACACGGAUUGCACCGGUGGUUUCACUGGAAUCCCACACCUUGGGAGGGAGGAGAGCCUGUGAACAUCCUGCAUCUCCAGGCUACCUGGCCUGAACUGUCCCACACUCUUCACCUCUCACAAAUGGUGGGGACUAUGACAAGCUUGGAGGCUCCCCUCUGCAUUUCUGUUUUCUUUUCCUUGGUGGCAGUGUUCUUAUCACCACCUGGCACUGGGAGCUCAGAGAAUGUAGAAAGGAGCAAACAGAGGGCGGAAAAAGGUCUAGCUCCUGGAUUCAGAUGCUAAGGUUCAGAGCAGCUGUUUGUUGCAGAGUUACAAAGGCACGUUUCCCAGCUCUGGACUCAUAGUCAGGAGACCUGCCCUGGAUCAAGAUGAUGUUAACACACGUAAUACAAAUGGAUUUGAAAAGGAUGCAUGAGAUCAGGUACCUUAGCUUGACAGGGGGAUUCCUGAGCUAGCUGGCGUCAAAGUACAUGAACGCUGUCUGUGCUUCCUCAGUCCCCCCAGAUGGCCACUGGUGACUGCUGACCCCAAGAGCUGACCUGCUGCUGACGCAGGCAGAAUUAUGGUGCUAACCACAGUCAUCAUAAUUAGAGCUAAUAAUGUCAAAAAAAGUCUGCUGCCAUGGGCUCUGCUCUGCUAAAAGUCUAAAAAUUCAACAGAGAAAAGAUAUGCCUUCUCUAAGAAAUCCACUUAUUAGUUCAUAGAACAAUGUAUGUUUAGAAAGAAACAACUUAAAGCUCCACUACAUUUUAGAAUUAUCAAGUUCAUCCCAAACCGAGGACUUCCCUAACAAUGCCUGUAAUACCAUCUUAGAAUGAAUUUUCCAUUCAAUUCAGAAACACUGGCUCAUCAGUAUUUCAGUUUUACAUCUCUUUCUGCAAUAAAACUGUUGACAUAUUUGGGGAAGAAUUACAGUGCAUGGCAAGAAUAAAGCUACCAAACAUUCAUGACAUAUAAAUAAUUCUUUGUCACUAUUCAUAAAUACGUUUCUUGCAUUCAUAGACCUGCUUCA